rnacentral:rRNA from 1 species
CGGAUCCUUCGGGAUUAGUGGCGGACGGGUGAGUAACACGUGGGAACGUGCCUUUUGGUUCGGAACAACUCAGGGAAACUUGAGCUAAUACCGGAUGUGCCCUUCGGGGGAAAGAUUUAUCGCCAUUAGAGCGGCCCGCGUCUGAUUAGCUAGUUGGUGGGGGUAAAGGCCUACCAAGGCUACGAUCAGUAGCUGGUCUGAGAGGAUGAUCAGCCACAUUGGGACUGAGACACGGGCCCG